rnacentral:misc_RNA from 1 species
CGGCGAUAGUCACUAACAGCUGUAACAACUAUAACAAGAAUGACAGCAAAAGCAAUGCUUGCCCCAUCAUACCAUCCUUCUUCUGGACCCUCUGUUUUAAUUCCCAGGGCCAAUGACGCCACUGCAGCUACUAUCAAGAUAAUAAGGGUUAAAUCUUGCCAAGCUUCCCAAAGGAACCUCAAGAAACUCCGUCCUUUUUUCUGGGGAUAAGUAUUUGCUCCAAAUGCAUUCCGACGCUUUAUUAAAUCAUCCUCAUCUCCAUUGAUUCCACUCUCCAAAUUUGUUUUCAACAUCUUACAUAACCCUUUUGC